rnacentral:tRNA from 1 species
GGACGCUUAGCUCAGCGGGUGAGCAUCGCCUUCACACGGCGGGGGUCGCUGGUUCAAACCCAGUAGCGUCCACCA